UCACUGAGAGGGCCGAGGCAGGGAUUGGACAGAGCGAGGCGGGACGGGAUUGGUUCCAGCUGUAGCUGGGGCAGCCACGGAUUGGCUGUGACCAAGCUCGGGGCGGGGCCGAGGGUGUGAAACUGGGCAUGUGGAGCGGUGGCUGGCACAGUGUGAAGACGACGCCGGCGGUGACAGAUGGGAGCAGCAGCAGCAGAGUGGGACAGCUGUAAACAGCCAGAAAGAGAAGGAAAUACACCAGAAAGAAAAUGGGAAAGCCCAACACGAGCAACAGGUGUCUGGUGCUGCUGCAUUGAGCUUCAGCUAAAACCAAUGGCAGGAGCUAGACAGGAGGGGCAGAAGAAUACAGCUUGCGUGAGAAGUAUGCUGGAAGAAAAACUGAAAGUUUUUCUGGGGAUAGGGGCAAGUGCUGAAGUAUCUGGGAAGGACCUAAGAAUCCGCAUUCAAUAGAGGAAAUGGGGGGGAAAAAAAUGGGAAUCGGCGAUGAAGCUGAAAGAAGAGCUGGACCUGAGCUGAAGAGGAGUUGAAUAAUAAAGCUCUUUUUGGGGUAAAACACAGGGAGAUCACUAAAAUCAC